UACAGAGGUCCCGAGCGUUGUUCGGAUUCACUGGGCGUAAAGGGUGCGUAGGCGGUCGGGUAAGUCUGAUGUGAAAUCUCACAGCUUAACUGUGAAACUGCAUUGGAUACUAUUCGGCUUGAGAGUUGGAGGGGGGACUGGAAUUCUUGGUGUAGCAGUGAAAUGCGUAGAUAUCAAGAGGAACACCAGUGGCGAAGGCGAGUCCCUGGACAACUUCUGACGCUGAGGCACGAAAGCUAGGGGAGCAAACAGG
rnacentral:rRNA from 1 species